rnacentral:misc_RNA from 1 species
UUGUUAUGAUUUGUUAAUCAAGUUACUCUGACUGUAGGUUAUAAACUGAGUUUAGAAUGUCCUCCGGGGGAACCUCUCGCGAGGUAAUUACAAGUAAACCCCGAGGCAACACAGGUUUAGAAUUCAAAGGGUUGGAGGUCGGCUUUCGUUAAGAUCGCCUUCACUCGUUAAUGAUCCCUCCGCAGGUUCACCUACGGAGA